rnacentral:tRNA from 1 species
GCAGGCGUGGCGGAACUGGUAGACGCGCAACGUUCAGGGCGUUGUGAGGUUUAAACCCUCAUAGAGGUUCAAAUCCUCUCGUCUGCACCA